AAAAGGAAACCAACAGGGAUUGCAUGUCUAGUAACGGCGAGUGAAGCGGCAACAGCUCAAAUUUGAAAUCUGGCCCCUUUGGGGUCCGAGUUGUAAUUUGCAGAGGGUGCUUUGGCGUUGGCUGUGGUCUAAGUUCCUUGGAACAGGACGUCACAGAGGGUGAGAAUCCCGUACGUGGCCGCCAGCCUCCGCCGUGUAAAGCCCCUUCGACGAGUCGAGUUGUUUGGGAAUGCAGCUCUAAAUGGGAGGUAAAUUUCUUCUAAAGCUAAAUAUCUGCCAGAGACCGAUAGCGCACAAGUAGAGUGAUCGAAAGAUGAAAAGCACUUUGGAAAGAGAGUCAAAAAGCACGUGAAAUUGUUGAAAGGGAAGCGCUUGCAGCUAGACGUGCCUUGGGUUGAUCAGCCGGGCUUCUGCCCGGUGCACUCUUCCUCUGGCAGGCCAGCAUCAGUUUGGGCGGCUGGAUAAAGGUCUGUUAAACGUGACUCCCCUCGGGGAGAGCUUAUAGGGCAGACGACAUGCAGCCAGCCUGGACUGAGGUCCGCGCAUCUGCUAGGAUGCUGGCGUAAUAGCUGUAAGCGGCCCG
rnacentral:rRNA from 1 species